CGAACGCUGGCGGCGCGCUUAACACAUGCAAGUCGAGCGAUGAAAUUUCGACAGAUCCCUUCGGGGUGAAGAUGAAAUGGAUUAGCGGCGGACGGGUGAGUAACACGUGAGUAACCUGCCUUUGACAUUGGGAUAGCCUCGGGAAACUGGGAUUAAUACCAAAUGACACUAACUGAUCACAUGAUCAAUUAGUCAAAGAAAUUCGGUCAAAGAUGGACUCGCGGCUGAUUAGCUAGUUGGUGAGGUAACGGCCCACCAAGGCGACGAUCAGUAGCCGGCCUGAGAGGGUGAUCGGCCACAUUGGAACUGAGACACGGUCCAAACUCCUACGGGAGGCAGCAGUGGGGAAUAUUGCACAAUGGGGGAAACCCUGAUGCAGCGACGCCGCGUGAGCGAAGAAGGCCUUCGGGUCGUAAAGCUCUUUUAUGAGGGAAGAUAAUGACGGUACCUCAAGAAAAAGCCCCGGCUAACUACGUG
rnacentral:rRNA from 1 species